GCAAGUCGAGGGGUAACAGGAAGUGCUUGCACUUUGCUGACGACCGGCGAACGGGUGAGUACUGCAUAAGAAACCUGCCCAUGAGACUGGGAUAGCCAUUCUAACGGUUGAUUAAUACCAGAUAGUAAUAUUGAGAGGCAUCUUUCAAUAUUUAAAUGCUUUAGCGCUCAUGGAUGGGCUUAAGUGAGAUCAGCUAGGUGGUGAGGUAAUGGCUCACCAAGGCAAUGACGUCUAGCCGGCCUGAGAGGAUGAUC
rnacentral:rRNA from 1 species